rnacentral:lncRNA from 1 species
UCGUCUGCCGAAAAAGUUCGAUUUUAUGGGGAGCCUGGUAGGAGGUCGGCCGGCGAUAGACUUCGGAUAGCGCUAGGGAGGCUCAGCAGACAUCGGAGGUGAUCGGCUAUCGUACGGACCCCAUUGCUGGAGCUCGUCCGUCAUAGAAGCUCGUCCGGAAUCCUUCUGCUGGAGAAGUUCGGACGGGCUUUAGUUCUCGCGAGAGGUCGAAAAGAGACUGCUUAUCGCAGGAGCUCGGGCGAGGAUCGGUUGCCGUGGAAGCUUGGGGUAGUGUCCCACUGUAGAAGCACGUC